UCGCACGGGGACCCCAGAAACGCUCCCGCCGCAGUCGGUGAAUUAAUCGUUGGCGUGAUGUCUGACCCGCGCCCACCCCCUGCUAGAGGCGGGGACCCUCGGGUCCUGCUGACCGCCCUGGCCCCGGGGCCUCGAACUGUGCCGGGCGCAGAGGGCGCGCGCUGAUUUUUAAAUAGUGCUGUGACGAACAUCUUUGAUGAUAUGGGCUUGGAAGCCGUCUGAGUAUUUCCUCAGGGAAGAUUCCUAGAAGAGACACUGAUGGGCCAAAGGCUCUGAUGCGUUUUGCCAAAAUGCCCUCCAGAAACGCCCGUGUGAGUGCUAUCCGCCCACUGGCUGGCAAGCAGCCGUUCUGCUCUCCUGCCAGCCCUGGGUCCUGUCGUUCCGUGUCAUCUCUGGCAAUCUCAGGGGCCUCACCUGCGCCCUGUGAGGUCUUCAUUGGAGGAAUAAGAAGAAGUGUCUGUUUUUUUUUGUGUGUGUGAGGAAGAUUAGCCCUGAGCUAACAUCUGCCAAUCCUCCUCUUUUUGCUGAGGAAGACCGGCCCUGGGCUAACAUUCGUGCCCAUCUUCCUCUACUUUAUAUGGGACGUCGCCACAGCAUGGCUGGAUAAUCAGUGUGUAGGUCCAGGCCUGGGAUGCGAACCUGCGAAUUCUGGGCCGCCGAAGCAGAGCGCUUGAACUUAAGCGCUACGCCACCGGGCUGGCCCGAGGCGUCUAUUUUUAUCAGAACUCUCCUGUUGUGAGAGGUCCCGGCUUUGGCAUUGGGGACUCAAGUUUCCCUCUAAUCGGGCUCCUCACUGUGCAGGUUUGGGGUCUCCUGGCGUCAGCUCGCAGGCUGCCUUCCCACUGUUGUUGCAGUAGACGCAUCUGCCAUCUGGAAGUGGGGCCACCUGCUCUCCUCCGAGGGAGCAGGGAUCCCCGGCAUCUCUCUGCUCAGCCCAGGGCUGAGGCUUCUAGAGUGACAGUCAGUACCUCUGCUGUCCCGAAGGUGGGCGAGCGGUGGGGUCAGGGAUGAGAGCAGUGGGCAUCGGACAUGAGGGCCUGUGGUCAGGCUCUGGGGCCCUGUGCCGGUCACUGCACCCCUCUGGCCCUCCAUUUGCCAUUCUGUCAAGGGAGCAGAGAAUCUGUAGGGACCUUCUCGAUGUUCCUCUCCAUACAGGAGUAGAGGCACCUCCAGGGGGCCGGCCGGGGCGCCUCGUGAGACCUCGUGAGUGGGUGCUCGUUGGAGAAGCUAGAAGGCCCUAUGUUUGUAUCUGAAGAGUUAAUGACACUCUCCUAAUUAAAGAGACCCCAUGAAAGAAGGCGCCUUUCCCCCGCACGUGAGGACGUGUGACAGUCCCGGGAGGACGUGGGGGACGCAGCCUCCCUGCGUUGGCGGGAGGAUAACCGAAUGCCUCCCUGGCGUGUCUGUGAACUGUAGGAUGCGCCGACCCCACUUUGAGGACUCUCUCCUGAGGUCACGCUACAGGCGCAUCUCUGCAAAGACUGUUCCUCACUUAUCAAAGCAGAAAACCCUGAACGGCCGACAGGAGGGCGACAGGAAACAAAGGAUGCGGCACCGUCACCGAUGAGCCUCUGUUGGAAGGAGUGAGGUCGGUCCGUGUGUCCACGGGAGCAGGUCAGUGUGACGCCUCAUCCUGGUGGCCUUCACAGGCGGGUAGCGGGGGUGUCAGGUGACCUGCUGCCUGGCCGAGUGGAUGCACUGUCUCAUUUUUCUCGCCAGGGCGUGUGAGCAACCAUUAGCCUCGAGCUUUCCUCCGGGAAGUGGCCUGGGGUGGGGGGCCGGCAAGGAGACGGUUGUUGUUCCGGCUGACUCCUUUUACACUGUUUCAGCUUUUUAAAUCAUGAGCAUUGCUUUCGUAUAUAAAAAAAUUAACUCAUAUAAAAUAUUUAAUGGAAACGUGUGAGUGUUCAUGUGUGCAAGUGCAGUCAUGGCCACACUCUCCCCAGAGCCAGGUCCAAGUGACUCUGCCGACUCGAUUCGAUCUUUGUGAAUUUUAUUUUUGCAAAACAAUCUCAAAAAUCUUUUACCUCAGCAGCGACUUUUUUUU